GCACAGACAGCCAGGAUGUUGGCUUAGAAGCAGCCAUCAUUUAAAGAAAGCGUAAUAGCUCACUGGUCGAGUCGGCCUGCGCGGAAGAUGUAACGGGGCUAAACCAUGCACCGAAGCUGCGGCAGCGGCGCGCAAGCGUUGUUGGGUAGGGGAGCGUUCUGUAAGCCGUCGAAGGUGGACUGUGAGGUCUGCUGGAGGUAUCAGAAGUGCGAAUGCUGACAUAAGUAACGAUAAAGCGGGUGAAAAGCCCGCUCG
rnacentral:rRNA from 1 species